rnacentral:miRNA from 1 species
GGCUGUUUGCUCUUGUGCAGUGAACACCUGCACAGCUGUACGCGGCGACCU